rnacentral:rRNA from 1 species
AGUCGAGCGGUAGCACAGAGAGCUUGCUCUCGGGUGACGAGCGGCGGACGGGUGAGUAAUGUCUGGGAAACUGCCUGAUGGAGGGGGAUAACUACUGGAAACGGUAGCUAAUACCGCAUAACGUCGCAAGACCAAAGUGGGGGACCUUCGGGCCUCAUGCCAUCAGAUGUGCCCAGAUGGGAUUAGCUAGUAGGUGGGGUAACGGCUCACCUAGGCGACGAUCCCUAGCUGGUCUGAGAGGAUGACCAGCCACACUGGAACUGAGACACGGUCCAGACUCCUACGGGAGGCAGCAGUGGGGAAUAUUGCACAAUGGGCGCAAGCCUGAUGCAGCCAUGCCGCGUGUGUGAAGAAGGCCUUCGGGUUGUAAAGCACUUUCAGCGGGGAGGAAGGCGAUAAGGUUAAUAACCUUGUCGAUUGACGUUACCCGCAGAAGAAGCACCGGCUAACUCCGUGCCAGCAGCCGCGGUAAUACGGAGGGUGCAAGCGUUAAUCGGAAUUACUGGGCGUAAAGCGCACGCAGGCGGUCUGUCAAGUCGGAUGUGAAAUCCCCGGGCUCAACCUGGGAACUGCAUUCGAAACUGGCAGGCUAGAGUCUUGUAGAGGGGGGUAGAAUUCCAGGUGUAGCGGUGAAAUGCGUAGAGAUCUGGAGGAAUACCGGUGGCGAAGGCGGCCCCCUGGACAAAGACUGACGCUCAGGUGCGAAAGCGUGGGGAGCAAACAGGAUUAGAUACCCUGGUAGUCCACGCCGUAAACGAUGUCGAUUUGGAGGUUGUGCCCUUGAGGCGUGGCUUCCGGAGCUAACGCGUUAAAUCGACCGCCUGGGGAGUACGGCCGCAAGGUUAAAACUCAAAUGAAUUGACGGGGGCCCGCACAAGCGGUGGAGCAUGUGGUUUAAUUCGAUGCAACGCGAAGAACCUUACCUGGUCUUGACAUCCACAGAACUUAGCAGAGAUGCUUUGGUGCCUUCGGGAACUGUGAGACAGGUGCUGCAUGGCUGUCGUCAGCUCGUGUUGUGAAAUGUUGGGUUAAGUCCCGCAACGAGCGCAACCCUUAUCCUUUGUUGCCAGCGGUUCGGCCGGGAACUCAAAGGAGACUGCCAGUGAUAAACUGGAGGAAGGUGGGGAUGACGUCAAGUCAUCAUGGCCCUUACGACCAGGGCUACACACGUGCUACAAUGGCAUAUACAAAGAGAAGCGACCUCGCGAGAGCAAGCGGACCUCAUAAAGUAUGUCGUAGUCCGGAUUGGAGUCUGCAACUCGACUCCAUGAAGUCGGAAUCGCUAGUAAUCGUAGAUCAGAAUGCUACGGUGAAUACGUUCCCGGGCCUUGUACACACCGCCCGUCACACCAUGGGAGUGGG